rnacentral:misc_RNA from 1 species
GCAAACUUGGUCAUUUAGAGGAAGUAAAAGUCGUAACAAGGUUUCCGUAGGUGAACCUGCGGAAGGAUCAUCACUGAUCUGGGGGGUGUGCGUGUGUAGGCGCGGGCAACUGCCUGCGCUGUGAGCACACACACACACCCCAACCAAUCUUGUGUGAACCGUAACACGCACUGUGCGUGAUGGGAUUGGUUGGCGGCGGGGAGAGAUCCGCCGCCACCGCCGACCACCAUCACGCGAGCAUUAUCUCCUUUAAAAUCUUGUCUAACACACAUUACACACACUAAAUUACACAACUUUUAACAAUGGAUCUCUUGGCUCUCGCAUCGAUGAAGAACGCAGC